AGAGUUUGAUCAUGGCUCAGGACGAACGCUGGCGGCGUGCUUAACACAUGCAAGUCUACUUGAACGCUCUGCUUGCAGAGAACUAUGGUGGCGAACGGGUGAGUAACGCGUAGACAAUCUGCCCCUUUCAGUGGGAUAAUCUCGGGAAACUGGGUCUAAUACCACAUAACAUCUUUUAACGGCAUCGUUUUAAGAUUAAAGAUUUCGAAUCGGUGAGGGAUGAGUCUGCGUACCAUUAGCCAGUUGGUGGGGUAAUGGCCUACCAAGGCAUCGAUGGUUAGCUGGUCUGAGAGGAUGAUCAGCCACACUGGGACUGAGAUACGGCCCAGACUCCUACGGGAGGCAGCAGUGAGGAAUAUUGCACAAUGGGGGCAACCCUGAUGCAGCAACGCCGCGUGUACGAUGAAUCAGUUUAUCUGUGUAAAGUACUGUUAAUUGGGACGAAUUACAUCUUUAGUAGAGAUGUUUGACUGUACCAGUAGAGGAAGCUCCGGCUAACUCCGUGCCAGCAGCCGCGGUAAUACGGGGGGAGCGAGCGUUGUCCGGAUUUAUUGGGCGUAAAGGGUAUGUAGGUGGAAAGAUCAGUCAGUUGUUAAAUCAUACGGCUUAACCGUAUUUUGCAAUUGAUACUGUUUUUCUUGAGUACGAGAGGGGACGGUGGAAUAUUUAGUGUAGCGGUGGAAUGCGUAGAUAUUAAAUAGAACACC
rnacentral:rRNA from 1 species